rnacentral:lncRNA from 1 species
UGCAGCAUAGUCAGAAUACUCUGAACUCUGCAUUUUCACCAUUCUCAACUCAAUCAUUCACUAUCAAACUCUUCUAUCUAGGUCUAAUCUUGACCUUUCACACAAUUCAUCAUCUCAAUUAGUCAACAUACUAGAAAUCCUAUGUCUAAACUUAAGAAUCAAAAUCUCUCUAAACCUAUACACUCAACUUGAUCAUCUAACCAGAUUCUAUACCUCUAUCGCAUCUCUAGACUAUUUUUAAAUAGUCUCACAAUACCUCUACAUGAGGUCACACAACAUUCCUCAUCAAUAGAACUUAAAACUAAAAUCUACAUUCUAAUUUCAAAUACUUAUAACCUGUUGCUCUGAUACCAACUGUGACAGUCCAGGAAUCCGGGGGUCUGGAUUCUGACGUCACCAC